AGCAACGGAAUGGCACACACUGCUUCUGUAAAGUGACGUCUUUCAGACACUUGGUGGCUUUUCGGAUAUGCAUACGCUUGAUGGCCUGGGCAGUUUCACAUGUGUUCUUAAAGUGAACACGAAGAUGUAAAAGACCUAGCCCUGC